GACGAACGCUGGCGGCGUGCUUAACACAUGCAAGUCGAACGGUAAGGCACUUACGGCGGUCCCCGAGUGGCGAACGGGUGCGUAACACUUGGGUGAUCUUCCCUGCACUCUGUGAUAAGCCUGGUAAACUGGGUCUACUACCGGUAAGGCCUACGCGAUGCAUCUCGUGUGGUGGAAAGCUCUUGCGGUGUGGGGUGGGCCCGCGGGCCAUUAGCUUGUUGGCUGGGUGUUGGCCUACCAAGUCGCCGACGGGUAGCCCGCCCGAGAGGGUGUCCGGGGACACGGGGACUGAGGGACGGCCCAGUCUGCAACGGGAGGCAGCAGUGGGGAAUAUUGCACAGUGGGCGCGCGCCUGAGACAGCGACGCCGGGUGGGGGAUGACGGCCUUCGGGUUGAAAACCGCAGUCGGCUCAGACGAGGCGUAAGUGACGGUAUGUACAGAAGAAGCACCGGCCAACUACGUG
rnacentral:rRNA from 1 species